AGAGUUUGAUCCUGGCUCAGGACGAACGCUGGCGGCGUGCCUAACACAUGCAAGUGGAGCGACGAACCAGGGCUUGCCCUGGGCAGAGCGCGAACGGGUGAGUAACACGUGGGUCACCUGCCUCGAUGACCGGGACAACCCGAGGAAACUCGGGCUAAUACCGGAUGUGCCCGCAAGGAAAGGAAGCUUCGGCUCCGCAUCGAGAUGGGCCCGCGGCCCAUUAGCUUGUUGGUGAGGUAAAGGCUCACCAAGGCUCCGAUGGGUAGCUGGUCUGAGAGGACGAUCAGCCACACUGGGACUGAGACACGGCCCAGACUCCUACGGGAGGCAGCAGUGGGGAAUCUUGCGCAAUGCGCGAAAGCGUGACGCAGCAACGCCGCGUGGGGGAAGAAGGCUUUCGGGUUGUAAACCCCUUUCAGUUGGGACGAAGCUUCGCCGGUGAAUAGCCGGCCGGAGUGACGGUACCUUCACAAGAAGCACCGGCUAACUACGUGCCAGCAGCCGCGGUAAUACGUAGGGUGCAAGCGUUGUCCGGAAUUAUUGGGCGUAAAGAGCGUGUAGGCGGCCCGAUUAGUCUGCUGUGAAAGUCCAGGGCUCAACCCUGGAAUGCCGGUGGAUACUGUCGGGCUAGAGUCCGGAAGGGGCGAGUGGAAUUCCUGGUGUAGCGGUGAAAUGCGCAGAUAUCAGGAGGAACACCAAUGGCGAAGGCAGCUCGCUGGGACGUGACUGACGCUGAGACGCGAAAGCGUGGGGAGCAAACAGGAUUAGAUACCCCCGUAGUCC
rnacentral:rRNA from 1 species